rnacentral:rRNA from 1 species
CCAGCAGCCGCGGUAAUUCCAGCUCCAAUAGCGUAUAUUAAAGUUGUUGCAGUUAAAAAGCUCGUAGUUGGAUCUCAGGUGCAGGCGGGCGGUCCGACUCGCGUCGGUUCACUGCCCGUAUCUCCUGCCCUACCGUUUGCCGGCUCUCUCCCGCGGGUGCUCUUCACUGAGCGUCCCGGGUGGCCGGUGCGUUUACUUUGAAAAAAUUAGAGUGUUCAAAGCAGGCCUCGGCAGCCUGAAUAAUGGUGCAUGGAAUAAUGGAAUAGGACCUCGGUUCUAUUUUGUUGGUUUUCGGAAUUGAGGUAAUGAUUAAUAGGGACAAACGGGGGCAUUCGUAUUGCGGCGUUAGAGGUGAAAUUCUUGGAUCGCCGCAAGACGGACUACCUGCGAAAGCAUUUG